AGAGUUUGAUCCUGGCUCAGAUUGAACGCUGGCGGCAGGCCUAACACAUGCAAGUCGAACGGUAACAGGAAACAGCUUGCUGUUUCGCUGACGAGCGGCGGACGGGUGAGUAAUGUCUGGGAAACUGCCUGAUGGAGGGGGAUAACUACUGGAAACGGUAGCUAAUACCGCAUAACGUCGCAAGACCAAAGAGGGGGACCCUCGGGCCUCUUGCCAUCGGAUGUGCCCAGAUGGGAUUAGCUUGUUGGUGGGGUAACGGCUCACCAAGGCGACGAUCCCUAGCUGGUCUGAGAGGAUGACCAGCCACACUGGAACUGAGACACGGUCCAGACUCCUACGGGAGGCAGCAGUGGGGAAUAUUGCACAAUGGGCGCAAGCCUGAUGCAGCCAUGCCGCGUGUAUGAAGAAGGCCUUCGGGUUGUAAAGUACUUUCAGCGGGGAGGAAGGGAGUAAAGUUAAUACCUUUGCUCAUUGACGUUACCCGCAGAAGAAGCACCGGCUAACUCCGUGCCAGCAGCCGCGGUAAUACGGAGGGUGCAAGCGUUAAUCGGAAUUACUGGGCGUAAAGCGCACGCAGGCGGUUUGUUAAGUCAGAUGUGAAAUCCCCGGGCUCAACCUGGGAACUGCAUCUGAUACUGGCAAGCUUGAGUCUCGUAGAGGGGGGUAGAAUUCCAGGUGUAGCGGUGAAAUGCGUAGA
rnacentral:rRNA from 1 species